AUUGAACGCUGGCGGCAGGCUUAACACAUGCAAGUCGAGCGGAGAUGAGGUGCUUGCACCUUAUCUUAGCGGCGGACGGGUGAGUAAUGCUUAGGAAUCUGCCUAUUAGUGGGGGACAACAUUCCGAAAGGAAUGCUAAUACCGCAUACGUCCUACGGGAGAAAGCAGGGGAUCUUCGGACCUUGCGCUAAUAGAUGAGCCUAAGUCGGAUUAGCUAGUUGGUGGGGUAGAGGCCUACCAAGGCGACGAUCUGUAGCGGGUCUGAGAGGAUGAUCCGCCACACUGGGACUGAGACACGGCCCAGACUCCUACGGGAGGCAGCAGUGGGGAAUAUUGGACAAUGGGGGGAACCCUGAUCCAGCCAUGCCGCGUGUGUGAAGAAGGCCUUAUGGUUGUAAGGCACUUUAAGCGAGGAGGAGGCUACUGAGACUAAUACUCUUGGAUAGUGGACGUUACUCGCAGAAUAAGCACCGGCUAACUCUGUGCCAGCCGCCGCCGUAAUAC
rnacentral:rRNA from 1 species